CAGCAGCCACGGGAAUACGAAGGGUGCAAGCGUUACUCGGAAUUACUGGGCGUAAAGCGUGCGUAGGUGGUGGUUUAAGUCCGUUGUGAAAGCCCUGGGCUCAACCUGGGAAUUGCAGUGGAUACUGGGUCACUAGAGUGUGGUAGAGGAUAGUGGAAUUUCCGGUGUAGCAGUGAAAUGCGUAGAGAUCGGAAGGAACAUCUGUGGCGAAGGCGACUAUCUGGGCCAACACUGACACUGAGGCACGAAAGCAUGGGGAGCAAACAGGAUUAGAUACCCCAGUAGUCCCUGUCUCUUAUAA
rnacentral:rRNA from 1 species